CCUACGGGUGGCAGCAGUGGGGAAUAUUGCGCAAUGGGCGAAAGCCUGACGCAGCGACGCCGCGUGAGGGAUGAAGGUCUUCGGAUCGUAAACCUCUGUCAGCAGGGAAGAACGGUCACUGGGCUAAGCAGCAGUGAAUGGACGGUACCGGCAAAGGAAGCACCGGCGAACUCCGUGCCAGCAGCCGCGGUAAUACGGAGGGUGCGAGCGUUAAUCGGAAUUACUGGGCGGAAAGCGCUCGGAGGCGGUAUGUCAAGUCAAGGGUGAAAUCCCCGCGCGCAACGUGGGAACUGCCUUUGAAACUGGCAAACUGGCGUGUGUGAGAGUAUAGUGGAAUUCCUGGUGUAGGCGU
rnacentral:rRNA from 1 species